AGUUACUGUUCCAUUGUAUGGCUAUACCAUGUGUGUCCACUCAACAGCUAAUGGACAUCUGGGUUCUUUCCAGUGUUGGUCAUUUGUGACUCAAGCUGCUACAGACAUUUGUGUAGAAGUCUUUGGGGGAACAUAUGCUUCUGUUUCUCUUGGGUAAAUACCCAGGAGUGGACCUGCUGGGAUGGAUGUGGGAAGUGUAUGUUUAACUUUUUAAGAAAUGGCCAGAGCACUGCUUUUCAAUGUGGUUUACUCUCUUACACUGCCAUCAGCGAUGCAUGAGAGUACACAUUUCUCCAUGUCCUGAUCAACACUUAAUAUGGCCACUUUUUAGUCUUUUCCAUUCUAAUUGUGGGAAACAGUAUCUCACUGCAGUUGUAAGCUGCCUCAGCCUCCCAAGUAGCUGGGGCUACAGGCAUGUGCCACCACACCCAGCUAAUUUUUUGUAUUUUUAGUGUACAAGAUCCAUAUGAGGAAAACUUCAAAACGCUGAUGAAAAAAAGA
rnacentral:lncRNA from 1 species